UAGAUACCCUAUUAUUUUAAAUGUAAAAUUAGAUAUUUGAGUAGUAAUUGUUGUGAUCAUGAAACUCAAAGAAUUUGGCGGUGUUUUAGUCUAUUCAGAGGAAUCUGUCCCGUUAUUGAUGAUUCACGUUUAACUUUACUUAAUUUUGUAAAAGUCAGUUUGUAUACCGCCGUCAUCAGAUUAUCUUUGAAAAGUAGGAAUUUUCUUGAAUUUUAAUUAGAAAUUAUGUCAGGUCAAGGUGCAGUUUAUAGUUAAGGGGAGAUGGAUUACAAUAAAAUUAUUUAAAUGGAUGUUGAAUUGAAAUAUUUAAUUGAAGGUGGAUUUGAAAGUAAUUAUUAAAAUUUUAAUAAAUUGAUUUUAGCUCUAAAAUAUGUACACAUCGCCCGUCGCUCUU
rnacentral:rRNA from 1 species